rnacentral:rRNA from 1 species
UCAGGAUGAACGCUAGCGACAGGCUACACAUGCAAGUCGAGGGCAGCAUAAAAGUAGCAAUACUUGGUGGCGACCGGCGCACGGGUGAGUAACGCGUAUGCAACCUACCUAUCAGAGGGGAAUAACCCGGCGAAAGUCGGACUAAUACCGCAUAAAACAGGGGCACCGCAUGGUGAUAUUUGUUAAAGAAAUUCGCUGAUAGAUGGGCAUGCGUUCCAUUAGGUAGUUGGUGAGGUAACGGCUCACCAAGCCGACGAUGGAUAGGGGAACUGAGAGGUUGGUCCCCCACACUGGUACUGAGACACGGACCAGACUCCUACGGGAGGCAGCAGUGAGGAAUAUUGGUCAAUGGGCGGGAGCCUGAACCAGCCAAGUCGCGUGAAAGGAAGAAGGAUCUAUGGUUCGUAAACUUCUUUUGCAGGGGAAUAAAGUGCAGGACGUGUCCUGUUUUGUAUGUACCCUGAGAAUAAGGAUCGGCUAACUCCGUGCCAGCAGCGGC